rnacentral:lncRNA from 1 species
UUUUUGAAACUUAUUGAACUUCAAAUUCAAGACACCGAUUUGGUGCGAUGGAGACCUCAACGUGGAAGCUUCCCGAACCUUCGUAGACUAAGCAUGAGUCAUUGCUACAAAUUACAACAGCUCGAUUGGCCGUAUGACCACUCUUGGAUAGAGAUCAUUCAUUUACGCAACUGCAAUCCUUUAGCCGUCGCUUGUGCCAAGGAAUUAAAAGAUAAGUUUUCCUUUCGACUUGCUGUCAAAUCUUCUUUUUGAGGUCAAGUGACUCUGCGACUUGCCUAACAGGUUAGUGUUACUACUUUGCAAUAUUACGUCUUAAUGUUUGUGUUAUAGUCACAGUGUUUGAGAUUGUCCACCUAUAAUUGAAUCGAGUAACUUAAAAGUAUUGGGCUCGUUAGCUUGUAAACACGUUCGUGUAUAGCAUUGUGAGCAUAUAUAUUUGGUUAUGAGCUCGGUUGCAAGGGCACAUCAUAUAUUGCUACUCGUUGCCUUCUUUGCGUUGUAGGUAUGAAUCGCCUUACUGGUGAGGAUUGCAGCUAGACGGAUCCAACUCGCGUGGAGACGCAGAAAGAAGCAAACGAAUCGAGCUGAGUCAAGUCGAGUAGAUUCCAUUGUGUUUGUGUAAAUGUUGCUAACUCAUAUGAAGUGCUCUUGAUUUUAGAUCGAGUUAUAGAAUUAAUCAAGAUUUGAUGUUAAUUUUAUUAGUAACAGUAGGAGUUGUUGGUUUAGCUAUGAAGUAAACUUUUUUUUUUUUUUGAUAAAUUACAGCAUUAAAUAAAGAAAUU